GUUGUGGGGGCUCCUAAUUUUGGAGGGAUUUUGAAACAUGUUCUUAAAUACCACAUGGAGUUUAGUGUGGAUUAUGGAAAGGGGGCUGAUCCGUCGAGAAGGGUCAAAAACAUUGUUAAGCUGGAGUUCCCACGAGUGAAACGAGCAGGAGACAAGGGAAAAUACAGUUACAAAUAUGAAGAAGAGCUGCGGAAGGGACAUGGAAGAGACUUAAGGGCCUCGGAUAUAAGGUUACCAGGUUAAUGCGCUAGAUCGAUGGGAUAAUAAGGACUGACAAAACCCGGGACCAGGAGGAAGGGACGUUGGAUGAAGAUUGGAUUGUUUUUAUUUCCUUUUUUUUACUACUACGAUUGUUUUAUAAAAUUGAUGAAUGUUAGAAAAAUGUUGGAAUGAAAUUACUUGGCUUUAGUAAAAAUGUUUAAAGAAUUAUGUAAGAAUAUUGUGGUUAUGAGAAGUUGGUAAAAAUAAGAUUUAAGUUUUAAGUUUCAAGGUUUUUUUAUAGUAAGAUAAGAUUAAAAUAGUUUAAGGUAAUGUAAUGACAGAAUAUUAUGAAAUAUGGAAAGGAUUUGCUGCGACAAUUAAUAACUAGGAUACAAAAAAAGGGGGGGAGGAGGAGGAGGUCAAAGAAAGAAGGUAAUGACAGUGGAGGAUUUGAGAAUAAUGGAUUUGUUUUUAAAUGUUUGUGGUGUAUUUUUGUUUUUUUUUUGAAUUUGUAUUGUUUGAUGUGGUUUGUUUUUUCUUUGCUCUUUCUUUUUUCUUUUUCUAUUUUGUUCUCUUGUGUAACUUUAAAAAAAAUUCCAAUAAAUAUCAUUU